rnacentral:rRNA from 1 species
GCCUAAAAUCUAGCCCAUCUAACCCACAUGACCCCCUUAACCAACUGUCUUAUAAACAAAACAUUUUAACAUUUUAGUACAGGUGAUCGAAAAAUUUCUAAGCGCUUCAGAUAAAGUACCGCAAGGGAAUAAUGAAAUAGAAAUGAAAUAACCUUAAAGCCCUAAAUAGCAGAGCUUCCCCCUCGUACCUUUUGCAUCAUGGUCUAGCCAGUUUCCCCAGGCAAAAAGAAAAUUUUAGUCUGACUCCCCGAAACUAAGCGAGCUACUUCGAAACAGCCCAAAGGGGCCAACCCGUCUCUGUUGCAAAAGAGUGGGAAGAUUUCCAAGUAGAGGCGAUAAACCUACCGAGCUUAGAGAUAGCUGGUUGUUCAGGAAAAGAGUCUUAGCUCUACCUUAAAUUUUUUUAUUGCACCAAACAAAACACUAGAUUUAAGAGCUAUUCAAAUAAGGCACAGCUUAUUUGAAAUGGGAUACAACCCCUAAUACUGGGUUAAUCUAGAUAUAUUAAAUAAAGUGGGCCUAAAAGCAGCCAUCUUCUAAAAAGCGUUAAAGCUUAACAUAUUAUUAUCUACAAUUCCACAAUUUUUACUUAACCCUUCAUCACUACUGAACUAUUUUAUACUCCUAUAAAAGUCAUUAUGCUAGAACUAGUAACAAGAAAUUGCCCUUCUCCAAAAUGUAUGUUUAAACCAAAAUGGACCCUCCACUGGUAGUUAACGUAAAUGUAAAAAUCAUAGUACCACACAACUAGAAAACCCUAUGACCUCCCCAACGUCAACCUUACACUAGAACAUUACAGGAAAGAUUAAAAGAGAAAGAAGGAACUCGGCAAACCACAGUCCCGCCUGUUUACCAAAAACACCGCCUCUUG